rnacentral:rRNA from 1 species
UACAGAGGGGGCAAGCGUUGUUCGGAAUUACUGGGCGUAAAGGGCGCGUAGGCGGCGUGUUAAGUCGAACGUGAAAUCCCCGGGCUCAACCCGGGAACUGCGUCCGAGACUGAAAGGCUCGAAUCCGGGAGAGGGAUGUGGAAUUCCAGGUGUAGCGGUGAAAUGCGUAGAUAUCUGGAGGAACACCGGUGGCGAAGGCGGCGUCCUGGACCAACACUGACACUGAGGAGCGAAAGCCAGGGGAGCAAACGGG